AGCUUUGAAGGUGUUUUUAGCAGCUCUCAUUCUCAUUCCUGGGUUUUUUCUCCCCCUCUCCUCCCCCUCUCUCCUCCAGUGGGUGUGGUGCGUCCCACCCUGACCGUCCUCCCCCCCUCCAAAGAGGAGCAGCAGCAGAGCAGUGUCACACUGGUGUGUCUGGCCAGCGGGGGCUUCCCUUCAACCUGGAGGCUGGGCUGGAAGGUGGGGGGCAGCAGCAGGUCCUCAGGGGUGUCUAACAGCCUGGAGGUCCUGGGGAGGGACGGCCGCUACAGCUGGAGCAGCACCCUGAGCCUCCCUGCAGACCAGUGGAGGAAGGCGGGCUCAGUGAGCUGUGAGGCCAAUCAGAGUGGACAGAGUCCUGUCACUCAUACCCUGGACCCUGACCUCUGCCCAGAGUAGAGCUGCAUCUUCAUGUCUGAACAGAUUUCUAAAAUCAUUGUAAAAUGCUCUUUAAUAA